rnacentral:lncRNA from 1 species
ACACACCCUCGGAUUGACGUGCGCACGCGCACCGGUUACCUUCAGGAGCGCCGAAGAAGGAAAGAAGAACACAGAGCCCGAGGCAAAGCUUAAGUGCUUACGCUUUUGUCGGGAGGUACAGACCCAGCUCUGCGAGAGCCAGGGGAAAAGGAAGAGAGGCAGGGAAGGAAUGGCAGCAAGUACAAGGUGAUGAAUGACUGCACUGGCCAUUGCUUCAUGAAGAGCCACGAAAAAACAGAGCCGGUUUCUCAGCAGGUGGCUGGCUGCUCAGUCACAAAGGACCUCUUUGGACAGGCUUUAUGGAAAUACUGUGCCUAGGACAGUCGCUCAAAGGCAGGAGGGAGAGAAAAUGCAUCUGCAAGCUCACUUUGUCUUCUUUCUUCUGCUGGUCAAAAUUUGCUGGCUGGGGCAGUUAACGCCCUCACACAUCCGAGUUGUGUCACCUGGCCCCUUUGGUAGCCACUGGGGAAGCCAGAUCUAGGCAUGUGGCCUGAUGGCUCCUGCGGUGGAACCACAUGCUCACACUCAGUCAGUCACCACUGGGAUGCCCUGGGCAGGGCAGGCUGAGUGGCUGGGAGAUAGCUGAGCCUAAGAUAUCUAAGCAAGCACCUGUGAUGUAUGCACUGCAGUGUCCAAAUGUGAAAAAGCAAGAAAGGGAGAUAGAAGCAUAUUUUUUUCUGGAGAGAAGGAGGAAACCACCAGGAGAAUACAAACAGAAAAAAGACAUGCUCAUCAUGCCCUGCAAACUCCUAUGAACUGGAACUACAGCAGCUGUUCUGCCAGGGACAGGUUCUUCUCUAAAGUUCCAGCUCUCUGGAGGGAGAAAGCCCUGACUUUGGAUGGAGUUGAGCUCUGUCGCCCAGGCUGGAGUGCAGUGGCACCAUCUCAGCUGACUGUGACCUCCGCCUCCUGGGUUCAAGUGAUUCUCCUGCAUCAGCCUCCCGAGUAGCUGGGACUACAGGUGCACACCACCAUGCCCGGCUAAUUUUUGUAUUUUUAGUAGAGACGGGGUUUUGCCAUGAUGGCCAGGUUUGGUCUCAAACUCCUAACCUCAAGUGAUCCACCCUCCUCAGCCUCCCAAAGUGCUGGGAUUACAGGCGUGAGCCACUGCGCCCCGCCUACUUGAAUUUUUUUUUUUUUUUUUUUUUUUGAGACAGAGUUUUGCUCCUGUUGCCCAGGCUGGAGUGCAACGGCAUGAUCUCGACUCACUGCAACCUCUGCCUCCUGGGUUCAAGUGAUUCUCCUGCCUCAGCCUCCCAAAUAGCUGGGAUUACAGGUGCCCACCACUGUGCCUGGCUGAUUGUAUUUUUAGUAGAGAUGGGGUUUCAUCAUGUUGGUCAGGCUGGUCUUGAACUCCAGACCUCAGGUGAUCGGACUGCCUCGGCCUCCCAAAGUGCUGGGAUUACAGGCAUGACCCACUGUGCCCGGACCUGCUUGAAUUUUUAUGAUGAGCAUGUUGGCAGAUCACGGUUAGUUUUCAACAAAUAUCCAUGUGCUUCUCUAUGUUUCCCAAUCUCUGUGCUUCUAGGUGUGUUUGUGGGACUAAUUCUCACCAAUGGAAUGUGUGUGGAAGUAAUGCGUCUCCUUCAGGCUGAGGCAGUUAAGAGACAAGGACUAUUGGGGGCCAUCUCUGAGGCUAGCUAUCACAGAGACCAUAAGAUAUUCAGCAACGUGAUAGACUCAGUUUGCCUGUGUAAUUUAUAGAGGACAUGAAGACAAAUUUCAGGUUGCUGUUUUGUUGUAUAAUUCCCUGAAAUUAUCUUGUUUAUUGGGUCUUUCCUGCCUUACUGGAAUAUCAGCUUCCUGAGAGUGUAAAGCUCGUGUCUGUUCUGCUGUCUGCUGUUUCCCUGGCGCCUGACACAGUGACUGCCACAUGAGAAGAGCCCCUAAAAUAGUGAAAUAAAUGAAGAAUCACAUGAGUGAAAUCCUCUUGGUACCUGAGUAUGGGCAAAGCUGGAAAACAGUGAUGGAGUUUUCCAUAGCAGCAUCCUAAGAAGACACCCUUAAGCUAGUGAGAACGCAUUUUGAGGACAUCAGCAAACACAGCCUAAGAGGGGCUUAAAUGGUGAUAUCACCUGGGCUUGCUUUCUCAGGUACUCUUUUAAAAGGAUGUAAUUCACAGCUGUCCCAAGAAGACUCACCAGGAACACCGUUAAUAACUGCCUUAGAAGCAUUUUGUGAUCUAUCAUUUAGGAUAUUUGUUUAGUUGCUGUAACAGGUACCAAGUAACCAUGGCUUAAACAAGAUGGUCUGUCUUUCAAAUAAAAGUCCAGCUGGUAGGCAGCCCAGGAAAGGUGGGCUGCUCUGCUUCUUGUGAUGGUCUGAGGACCCUUAUGCCUUCUGUUUUGUUGCUUUGCCAUCCUCUCGGGUGUUGUCCUAUCCACAUGAUUGAGUUAAAUGCCCAACAUUAUGUCCGCAUUCCAGCCUCAAGAAAGAGGAAAGAAGAAAGGGAGAGCAUGCAACUUUCUUUUAAGGAUGUGACCUAGAAGUGACAUACAUCACUUAGGCUCACAUGCCAUUGGUGGGAACUUAGUCAUAUGGCCACAACUAGUUGCAAGUGAGGCUGGGAUAUGUCAUCUCUAGAUGGACAAUCAUGUACCUCCCAAAAACUUGGGGAUUACUAUUACCAAAAGGAAGAAAGAAAAUAUGAAUGGGUGGGAUUGGCAGUCUCUCAUCAGUAGGAAAGCAUCAUGACUGAUGCUGAGAAACUCUUUGCCCAAGUCUUUAUGGCCUAUAUAUGUAACUCCAUAUUACUGACAGUGUGCAUCACAGGGUGUGGUAGGUGGCUUCUAAAAUGGCCUCAAAUGAUUCCUGUCUCCUGGUACUCAUGCCCUUGUGUAAUCCCUUUUUCUUGAAUGACUUCCUUCAAGUUAAUAGACUGUUGAUAGGCUGCCACUUCUAUGAUUAGAUUAUUAAAGAUGUACCUCCAUUUUCCUAGCUGACUUUAUUGCCUUUGCAGCUUGCAAGCUUUGAUGAAGCAGCCAUGUUGGGGAGGCCCAUAUAGCAAGAAACCAAAGUCAGUCUCCAGGCAAUAGCCAACAAAGAACUGAGGUCCUCAGUCCAAUAGCCCACAAAGAACUGAAUCCUACCAAUAACCACUUGAGUUUGGAAAUGGAUCCCUUACCAAUCGAGCCUUCAGAUUAGACCCCAGCCUUGGCUGACACCUUCACUGUAGCCUUUUAUGUAAGAUCCUGAAGCAGAUGACGCAACUAAACUGUGCCUGGACUUCUGAUGCACAGAACCCGUGAGAUAAUAAAUACUGCCAGCUCCGUGACAGCAAGAACCUUGUAUGACUUUUUCAUGAUGGAUGUUCAUCUGUGCCAUCUGUAAAUAUUGAAUAAAUAUUUGUGGAAUACAUGAAUCUAAAAGUGAAUGGAAUGAUAAAGAGGUAAGAUAUCAGGGAAAGGGUCAUGACAUCUACUACAGCAUUUGGCACAGACCCAGGUA